ACCAAUGUCACAAACUUCAACUCCUUGGCUAGCACACCUCGGUCCAGCAGGAGAGAAAGCAGAAGCAGAGAGCCAAGGCUGAGGCUCGCCACCCUGGCCAUGUGGACAGGAGUUUGCUUCUGGCAGGAGUCCGAAGUUUACCUUUAUUUUUUUUCUGUAGAUGGUCUGACGUCCCAGCUCUUGCUUUAAAAAGGGUCUGUUCUGACUUUGGAAGCCUGAGAACAGCGAUUCUUAAUUUUUUGGGAAUCCACAAGCAUAGGAAGAGAAAUCUGGAGGGAACUGACACAUCUGGACAUGUUUGGGGUCUGUCCCCGUGCCAAACAUGAUGUCUGGUUUUCUUAAACUCUCCUGUAGCCUAGAGGUGUUUUAAAAUUGAAGAAAAGAAGUUUAUGUGGAUCAAUUUUAGUUCUACCUGAAGACAUCGGAGGAUCACCGGUGGCAUCUCAAAAUUAGGACUAGAUUCUGAAUCUGACACGGCUUUUAAAAAGAAGCUCUGAAAACCAAACAAACCUACAACUCGGCAUUGUCACUGAUGGACGUUGGCCAAAAGCCUGUCCUUGGGAGAGCCACACCCUUACCUCUCCAAGCCGUGAUCUCACUGGGGAUGCUACAAAAGAAGAUGAUCCGGAUUAAUGGAACUCAGCUCUCCAUUUUUCUCAGACUGUCUACCCCUUCCUAGGUUCAAACAACACUGACCCUGCACACGGAUGAGAUUUUGCUGGAGUUGUGGGCAGCACUGCCUGUUGUGAUGUUUCCAUACCAAGGGGCAGAGGGAGAACAAUGGUUUUCCCACAACCUAUUCUCUCGGUACACUACACUCGACCUGUGACUGGAAAUUUCUGUUGUUAUAUGAUCAUAGGAUGCUCUGGAAUGUGGUGUGUGGGAGACCAUGGUUCUUCAGAUCACAAGACCCCCAUUCCUUGCCUGGGAGGAAGGAAUUCUGCACAGAGAGGCCAAGAAGAAUCCGGACAGUCAGACCUUGCUGGGUUCCCCCAACCAGUCUGCUGGCAUUUUAGAUGUGCAAUGGAGACUCCAUUGAAAGCCCAAGGACAGGCUUCAGAGUGCUUCCGGAUAGCUGGGGACGCAUGGUACUUCCUGGAG